rnacentral:rRNA from 1 species
CGACGUAUCAAUACGUGGCGAACGGCUCAGUAACACGUAGUCAACAUGCCCAGGGGACGUGGAUAAUCUCGGGAAACUGAGAAUAAACCUCGAUAGGUCACGAUUUCUGGAAUGGAUCUUGGCUUAAAUCUACAUGGCCCCUGGAUUGGACUGCGGCCGAUCAGGCUGUUGGUGAGGUAAUGGCCCACCAAACCUAUAACCGGUACGGGCUCUGAGAGGAGGAGCCCGGAGAUGGGCACUGAGACAAGGGCCCAGGCCCUAUGGGGCGCAGCAGGCGCGAAACCUCUGCAAUAGGCGAAAGCCUGACAGGGUUACUCUGAGUGAUUCCCGCUAAGGGGAUCUUUUGGCACCUCUAAAAAUGGUGCUGAAUAAGGGGUGGGCAAGUCUGGUGUCAGCCGCCGCGGUAUUACCAUCACCCCGAGUGGUCGGGAUGAUUAUUGGGCCUAAAGCAUCCGUACCCGGUUCUGCAAGUCCUCCGUUAAAUCCAGCCGCUCAACGGAUGGACCGCGGAGGAUUCUAUUGGACUAGGAGGCGGGAGAGGCAAGCGGUACUUCAGUGGGUAGGGGUAUAAUCCUUUGAUCCCUUGAAGA